rnacentral:rRNA from 1 species
UGCAAGUCGAGCGAGAAAGGGGCUUCGGCCCCCAGUAAAGCGGCGGACGGGUGAGUAACACGUAGGUAAUUUUCCCUUGAGCGGGGGACAACGGUCCGAAAGGACCGCUAAUACCGCAUACGUUUCUCGAGGCUCCGGCCUCGGGGAGGAAAGCUAGGUAGCAAUAUCCGGCACUCAAGGCGAGGCCUGCGUCGCAUCAGCUAGUUGGUGGGGUAAUGGCCUACCAAGGCGAAGACGCGUAGCUGGUCUGAGAGGAUGAUCAGCCACACUGGGACUGAGACACGGCCCAGACUCCUACGGGAGGCAGCAGUGGGGAAUAUUGGACAAUGGGCGCAAGCCUGAUCCAGCCACGCCGCGUGAGUGAUGAAGGCCUUCGGGUCGUAAAGCUCUGUGGGGAGGGACGAACCGCCGAUGGUGCAUAGCCAGCGGCAUGACGGUACCUCCUUAGCAAGCACCGGCUAACUUCGUGCCAGCAGCCGCGGUAAUACGAAGGGUGCAAACGUUGCUCGGAAUCAUUGGGCGUAAAGCGCACGUAGGCGGCGAAUCAAGUCGGAUGUGAAAUCCCUCGGCUCAACCAAGGAAGUGCAUCCGAAACUGUUUCGCUUGAGUACGAAAGAGGAUCGCGGAAUUCUCGGUGUAGAGGUGAAAUUCGUAGAUAUCGGGAGGAACAUCAGUGGCGAAGGCGGCGAUCUGGGUCGAU